rnacentral:rRNA from 1 species
UCUUACCCGUACGGUUGCCUCGGCGCUGGCGGUCCGGAAAGGCCCUCGGGUCCUCCCGGAUCCUCGGGUCUCCCGCUCGCGGGAGGCUGCCCGCCGGAGUGCCGAAACUAAACUCUUGAUAUUUUAUGUCUCUCUGAGUAAACUUUUAAAUAAGUCAAAACUUUCAACAACGGAUCUCUUGGUUCUGGCAUCGAUGAAGAACGCAUCGAAAUGCGAUAAGUAAUGUGAAUUGCAGAAUUCAGUGAAUCAUCGAAUCUUUGAACGCACAUUGCGCUCGCCAGUAUUCUGGCGAGCAUGCCUGUUCGAGCGUCAUUUCAACCAUCAAGCUCUGCUUGCGUUGGGGAUCCGCGGCUGCCCGCGGUCCCUCAAAAUCAGUGGCGGGCUCGCUAGUCACACCGAGCGUAGUAACUCUACAUCGCUAUGGUCGUGCGGCGGGUUCUUGCCGUAAAACCCCCCAUUUCUAAGGUUGACCUCGGAUCAGGUAGGAAUACCCGCUGAACUUAAGCAUAUCAAUAA